AACUUGUGCAUCGUAACGAUUUUGAAUUGGGUAAGUUGCAAGUCGGUAGAUUUGCUCUGCAGUUUCCCGGAUACCAGCACCCUGCUUCGCGAGAACUACUCUACGUUGUUCUGGGGGGCUUAGACGAACAUCUGAAUCCGAUUUUGAAGAAGUCUUGCAUCGAUGGACACUGACAAAAUAUAGGAAGCUGCACAUGAAUGUUGGGUAUUUUAUCAUAAGUAGAAUACAGAUAGAUUCUGUAGUAGUAGAUCUCUUUAGUUGGGUAUUGAAAUUGGCUUUGGUUUGUAUGGGGUCUGAUGAGGUCUCAGUUGCAUUUGAUCCUACUUGUUAUUUAUCACUGCCAAUGCCAGUCGAAAAGGAAGUACCAGUUGACCUGUAUCUGGCUAACGUGGACCUUUUAGCAGAAAUUUUUCUGCUUUCAAGGGAUUCAAAGAGUUUGUAGAAUAUUAUGUCUCUAGGAUUCCACAGUUUUAGGUAAUUCAAUUGACAAGAAAUUUACACUGAUUCUUGUUUUAUUUUUCUAAAGGCAGAUUCUUAAUUAUAAAGGAUUGGGAAAGAAAAUUGACGGAGGCUCAGUGCCAAAAAAAUUAUGGUAGUUGGAAUGAUUACCGAAGCUCUUCGGAUUCGUUUAUUUCACUCGUUAUGGUAUUUAAAGAAAAUAAACGUGUACCUGUGCCCCUUUGUAUCUGUGACCCGAUUUCCUCUUCACUUGCGAUAAUUCUGCAGCGGGUCAUGCAGAUACUGUGAUCAGCAGAAAAAGUUGGAAGUGCGCUGCCCGGAAAGCAAAUCUGGGGUAAAAGAAAAAAACUUAUUCCAACUAGUAAGCCAUUCCCAAAUUCAACCAACAAAAAGGUACACAGUGAGAUUUGCUUAACAAUUAUGUUUCUUUAAUUGAUUUUAAAAUUAGGAAAAGGUGGAAGGAAAAACUUCGUUCUCUGGUAGUGUUUUAGUUAAAAUCCUUUUUGUGCAAAUUGAUUUUUGAAAUUGUUUACCUCAUUUUCGAAUGGUUCCGUUCACAUUUGUUGUUCAUGUGAGAUUUUAUGUUUACCAGUUACUGCAUUAUAUUGACCACUAUUGCAAGAUGUUUGUUUAGGAAUAACUACUGUUUUGUUUAUCUGGAAUGUUGUGUGGGAGUCCAUCAGGAAUUGCUGGUCUGCAGUAAAUUUGUCAGGCUAGGUGAUGAAGAUCAAUGAAUCAGAAAAUGUUUUGCAUGGGUGGUGAAUGUUCUGACAGUUUUAACAGUUGUGAUGUGGUGUAUUUCACUUCCACGCAUCAUGGUGUUUUUAUCUAUCAGUUGAAUUGUAUGGUUAAUUUUCUGUUCGUGUAACCUCAUUUCCUCUUGAAUCAUAUAGUAGAAAUUGGUGACCUGAAACAAUGAACAUGGAAAAAUCACCUGUGCCAACGUUGACGAUGUUUGAUUGAUGAAGUGCUGGAAACUAAAAUUAAUUUUCUUUACAA